GGCGUGCAGGCCGGAUGUUAGGGGGGCAACCUCGAGGCCCGAUGGUGGCUUCGACCCCAGGGCGGACCUGCGCCUACCCUCAGCCCCUGCAACUGCGGGUCAGGAGAAAGGGACCUGCCAUGGCGAAGAAAACCGAAUCUUCUCCAAUUAGGCUUCUCCUUAAAGAGAGAAAAAGCAGAUGACCACGUCCCAAGACACAAUGUUCCAUGUGGCAAGCACUGCCUUUCAGUCAGCACAGUGAGGGCAUAUCCCCAUUUGAUGAGCCGGCCAAAAGUCUAAGUAGAGACCCUCGGUGAACAGGAAGCCCGGAGGGGCUGACCUUCGUGACUCCCUCCACAGGCCCUGGGAAAAAUAUCAGAGGCCAGAAUUCAACCCUCUCACUACAAAACGGUUAAACCAAGACUGUUGGGUCUUGACUAAGCCAGAGAUUGACCCAAUUCUCCGGACAGUUAUGCAAUCGUUUGCAGCACAAAAACGCAAUGUCCUACCUGUGAGAGAUAUUCUUCUUCUCAGUCCCAUUCUACAGAUGGAAAAAACUGAGGCCAAGAAAGAGUAAGUGACCACACCAAGCACUUCUCCUAGGAAAUGGCAGAACUGGAACACUACAGAUAACGCAGCACCUCUUCUGAACCCACUGCAGAUCUGAGAGAUUGUGUCAAUUCUUCCCAUCCACUUGGGUUGGUUUUUCAGUUGGCUAUCCUUCUGCCGAGAUACCUGAAUCCCAACCCUCAUCCCUGUGGAAUUUGAAAGUGGAUUUUCUGAACCUUUGAUUAAAAUAUACAGUUUUUAGUUUUGGGGUGGUUGAGUUUUUGGUGGUUUUUUUCGCUUGUUUCUUUUGGUUUUGUUGUUUUUGCUGUCUCAUCUCCCCAAGAGAAAAACAGCUCCAGAACAGGAAGGACUCCCUCGAGAAGCACCUCGGAGGGAUGGGGUUAAGCCAGCAGGUGUGCCGGUCUUGGCAUUCAAGGCAAGCCAAAGUACUGGAUCUGACGGGUUUUAUUGUUUUAAGAGGUACAAGUUCACAGCUUCCUGAAUGGAAGUCUCUUCAUUUCUUGGAGCCAAGCUUAAAUGCCUUUAAAAUCUUGGCCUGCCGUUAUCCUGUAGCUGUUAAUUAAGCUUUGAAAACUUUACAUUAUGUUUACAGUGCACUGUGCGAAUUGCAAAAUAAAUUAGAACCCGAGGCAAAGAAAUUGGAGUUUUCAAUAAAUGGAACAAAAACCGGAGAGAGUCGCUUUUUAGAUAAUGUGAGACUCGCUAUUUCUCACUCUGAUAUUUCUUUCUAAGGGGGAAAAUGGACUUUGAAAAAAUAAACUUUUGCUUCAAAAUGUAACAC
rnacentral:lncRNA from 1 species